rnacentral:rRNA from 1 species
CCUACGGGAGGCAGCAGUGAGGAAUAUUGGUCAAUGGCCGGAAGGCUGAACCAGCCAUGCAGCGUGAAGGUCAGUGCCCUAUGGGCGUUAAACUUCUUUUGUGCGGGAGCAAUAAUGGUCACGUGUGGCCAGACGAGAGUACCGUACGAAUAAGCAUCGGCUAACUCCGUGCCAGCAGCCGCGGUAAUACGGGGGAUGCAAGCGUUAUCCGGAUUUAUUGGGUUUAAAGGGUGCGUAGGCUGUGAGGUAAGUCAGCGGUGAAAUGCCCCCGCUCAACGGGGUGAAGUGCCAUUGAUACUGCCUGGCUGGAAUGCGGAUGCCGUGGGAGGAAUGUGUGGUGUAGCGGUGAAAUGCAUAGAUAUCACACAGAACACCGAUUGCGAAGGCAUCUCACGAAGCCGCGAUUGACGCUGAUGCACGAAAGCGUGGGUAUCAAACAGGAUUAGAUACCCCAGUAGUC